GCCAAAGUGGCGGAAUGGUAGACGCGCUGGUCUCAAAAACCAGUGGUCCUUAACAGACCGUGUGGGUUCGACUCCCACCUUUGGCA
rnacentral:tRNA from 1 species